UACGGGGGGGGCAAGCGUUGUUCGGAAUUACUGGGCGUAAAGGGCUCGUAGGUGGCCAACUAAGUCGGACGUGAAAUCCCUCAGCUUAACUGGGGAACUGCGUCCGAUACUGGAUGGCUCGAGUUUGGGAGAGGGAUGCGGAAUUCCAGGUGUAGCGGUGAAAUGCGUAGAUAUCUGGAGGAACACCGGUGGCGAAGGCGGCAUCCUGGACCAACACUGACACGUCGA
rnacentral:rRNA from 1 species